rnacentral:rRNA from 1 species
AGAUUGAACGCUGGCGGCAGGCCUAACACAUGCAAGUCGAGCGGCAGCACGGGUACUUGUACCUGGUGGCGAGCGGCGGACGGGUGAGUAAUGCCUAGGAAUCUGCCUGAUAGUGGGGGAUAACGCUCGGAAACGGACGCUAAUACCGCAUACGUCCUACGGGAGAAAGCAGGGGACCUUCGGGCCUUGCGCUAUCAGAUGAGCCUAGGUCGGAUUAGC